UGGCAUUGAAGCAAUAGACUGGUUCGGCAUCAGUCUGUUAUGGAGCCAAACCGUGGGUUAAGCGAUAACCACAAGCCGAAUGGAUUUUCCAAAAUCGAACGAAAACGCAAAAC
ncrna:unclassified sequences drum RNA